rnacentral:misc_RNA from 1 species
GUAAUAAUAAAUAUGUAAAUGAGAAAAUGGAAAGAAGGCACAGAAGUCGACAUAUCUUUUAAAAGACCAGAAAACCAAAUGAAUGAAGCAUUUACAAAUAAAGAACACGUGGAACUACAAGAAUUGGCUCUUGAUGCCAAUCAAAUAAUUAAGAUAGCAACAGUGCAGACAGUCAACUGGAACUCUUUUUUCCUAUUUAAUAUAUGAGGAAAAACUAUUGAUCACCUAAAAGCCAGCUGCUAAUGUAGAAAGAAUGUUCCAUUGUCAAGGGAUCAUUUUGUAGUAUUAAUUUGAGACACUGACUUCUAGAUUAUGCUCCCAAGAAAAUAAAUAAACAGCUUAAAGCAUGAUGCUUGCGCACAAAGAGCAGUUACUCCCAAGGUAAAUGAAAUUUACCUUAUAUCUACGACUUCAAUCAACCAAUAUUGUUUCACAUUCUAUCUAGUUAUUUCAUCAAAUAUUGUUAAAUUAGUGCACUUCCUGUGCUUCUAUUUUAUCUUAGAGAAUAGUUUGAUGGAACUAACCGAUAGAGACUAGAGAAUAAUUGAAUAUUCAACAAGUGGGUGCCUUUCAGAAAAGAAAAGAAAAAAGAUUCAUUAAAUCCGGCAAUUUGGUCCCCACCACCAACCCCCAAGGAAAAAAGAGAUCAUGAAUUUAUCAAGAUCAACAACAUCAUAAAGCUUUUA